CAGUUACACUCUCCUUCUGAAACUAGCCAAGGGAUGGGAUUGUCUUAUGCCUGGACUGUGAUUUCCUUCCCUCUUCUCUCCUCCCCCUCUUUCCCUGCUGAUCCCAGCUAGAGCUCGAGAACAAGGCAGCAGCUGAGCGAGAUGGAUCAGGCCAGGCCCUCCGUCAAUCACUAAGCAUCAGUGUCCCUUGGACACCGAGGAGAACUGCAGAAGGAGGAAGAGGAAUGCCCUAUCUUUGCCCCCGGGGAAGCUCCUUGACCACACAUCCAAUCCUCAGAUAGAGACAGAGAAGUGACAUCAAGCCUCCCAUUGGGGCCCUCCAAAGAGUUGCCACUGCUGAAAGCUUCCCCACUCCCCUUCCAGCCUGGCCUAGGACCUUCUGGAAGAGAAGUUGAGACAGAAAACAGGGCUGGACCAAUGCUAUCACUAGAUACCAUCAAAGUCCC
rnacentral:lncRNA from 1 species